GACGAACGCUGGCGGCGUGCCUAAUACAUGCAAGUUGAGCGCUGAAGGUUGGUACUUGUACCAACUGGAUGAGCAGCGAACGGGUGAGUAACGCGUGGGGAAUCUGCCUUUGAGCGGGGGACAACAUUUGGAAACGAAUGCUAAUACCGCAUAAAAACUUUAAACACAAGUUUUAAGUUUGAAAGAUGCAAUUGCAUCACUCAAAGAUGAUCCCGCGUUGUAUUAGCUAGUUGGUGAGGUAAAGGCUCACCAAGGCGAUGAUACAUAGCCGACCUGAGAGGGUGAUCGGCCACAUUGGGACUGAGGCACGGCCCAAACUCCUACGGGAGGCAGCAGUAGGGAAUCUUCGGCAAUGGACGAAAGGCUGACCGAGCAACGCCGCGUGAGUGAAGAAGGUUGUCGGAUCGUAAAACUCUGUUGGUAGAGAAGAACGUUGGUGAGAGUGGAAAGCUCAUCAAGUGACGGUAACUACCCAGAAAGGGACGGCUAACUACGUG
rnacentral:rRNA from 1 species